GGUACAACCACAAAGAACUUCGGUUAAGACUGUGGAAUUAUUAACAUCGUUAAUAAUUACGUAGUUCCGGUUCUAAAGAAUGCCGGGCUGAUCUGAGGAUCAAAUCAGAUACUCGCCCAUUUCAACUUUGGCCGUGGACGAGGCGAAAGCGGUGUAGUUUGUGUCUAAAUCGCGAGUUUGAAACCGGAAGAGUGAAUUAGGUUAUUCAAAUAAUUGUAACUAGAAAUACCCUCCAGUGCAUCCGUCAAACGAUAAAUAGGAGGAAGAGCCGUUUUCGACACCACGUCCAUCGUUGGAAUCCAGCCCCGAACGCUAUUGAAGGUGGCCGCGCAUCCCAUUCGUAAGCGCUACAACACUCGCGGAAAAGGAAAACCAGCCGUGGUUCUCAGUUUUGGGGUUGUAUCACGGACCGCGGACCAACGGUGUCGCGGGUUCUUCA